CGCGCCUGAAUCGCACUGCCGCCAAUCACCUGUGCCGCUUGCCCUGCUGGCCACCACGGGCCAAGCUACUGUUUGUGUGAUGUGUCGUGCCAAGGGCCGGGUACAGGUUCGCACCCUCUAUCAUUGCGCUCACCUGCCGCUCAGCCUGUCAUGCCCGGCACAGCCGGUUGAUGAGCCACGUUGUUGACUUCUUCCGCUCUGUUGCUUCCUAUAAAGUAUGGUCUGCAAUUUAUGUUCUUGCGCGUCGAGUUCAGCCCCCAGGCUACAAUGGAACGUGGUCGUCGACAACGGCCUAGCAGAUGAUGUGCUUCUGGCUCUGGAUCGUCACUUGAGAAGGAUGAUAGACAACUUGAGUGAAAUUUGGAGCAUGGGUUAUAUCUUCACUUCAAAUUCCAUUGGUAAGGAUUUGUUUGCUCAUCGAUUGAUUGUUUUUGUGUUUUCUCCCCUAAUCCUUAUGUUGAGAUUUUGGAUAUGUUUCACUGCCUUUCAGAUUGUUACGAAUUCACUUGCAAUAAACCUGUACCUUCCAAACCAUUUCCAUCUAUAUUCUUGCCGUGUUGGGACUGUUGAUAGUAUAGAUUUGAAGAGUCACAGUAUGCCGGUAUAUGUGCAUGAAUAGUGCUUCAUGUACCUAUUUGAUGAUUCAGUUCUGUGGUAAUAAUUGAAAUGGUGAUCUUAUAGCCUUACAUCAAAUGCUAUUAGUCAAUGGUGGCUCUCUUUUGAAUCGCCUAAGAUGUUACUGUCUACAUGCCAUACUAUUUGAGCCCUGACUUCUGCUUCUUCAUAAACACGCAAUGCUUCUCAUGUUAAUGAAAGAUGAUAUCAAGGUGGAAGUCAUGUACAAAAAUAUUAUGUGGCGGAUAUGGCCUAAAUUUAUGUGAUAUCAUGACUGUUCUUUACCAAAUUUACUUAGUUGUUAACACUUUCAGCCUGGAUGGUCUUUUCUUCGUUACUUUUUCUCUCACAAAUUGCGGUUGAAGAUAUUUAUCUUACCAAUAAGCUAAAGUAGCAUGGACCUGGCACAGCCAUUUACUUAUGAUGCAGGUGUCUUUGUCAUAAGUAAAUGGUUUGGGACCAUGAUAAUCAUACCAUUAUCUUUGAAGCCUACACUGCAAUUCAGAUCAAAAUUUGGGUCAUCUUCGUUGGUUCCUAGACUGCUGCUCGAUGGAUGAAGUCUUAAUAAUAAUUAGACGAGUUCUUUCUUUGUUUUACGGGGCCCUCUUUUGUUCUGCGUGAGCUAGCAACUUCCGUGGUUCAUUUAGAAAUUUAGAGUUUGCCCAGAUGCCUAUAAAUCUUGCGAAAAGUUUAAUUGUUUAUAUGUAGUAAUGUCACAAUGUUCAUUGUGCAAUCCUCGGGAUGUAUCCUAAUAUCCUUUUUCUCUUGAUGUACAAUACCGAAAAAAUUGUGGUUGGAGGACCCUGAGGUGCCCUCACUUUGUUGUGGGCACUUCAAGAGUUCAAGAGACAUGCAAUCAUGAAUGGUAUGUAUGUCAAAUUAUCGCUUUCUCAUUUCUGCAACACUUCCAUUGUGACCGUUGUGCUCAGGUCUGAUCAUUUAUGUUUUGGAUUUUUUGGCAUUGGGGAUGUUCUAAUUUGCCCCUGCUAAAAGAAGAGAGAUUUGGUAUUCAUGUUUGAAAUUCACCAGUUCAAUUCUUUAUGUUUAUUUGUAGCAACAAAUACAACAUCAUUUUAAUAUUACUACAUGGAUGACAUAACUUUUUAUUUUGCCAGUACAUUUUUUCUUUACCAUAUGUGUGCGGAGAUACUCUUCUAUGAAAGUUUAUGCGGGAAGACUUUCUUGCCUUACAGAUGCUCCAAAGAGCAGAACCGGAAUUAUGCACUACCGUUGUUGAGAUUACAGUACCCACUAUCAUAUCAUUACCUCAUUUAAUCUAAUUCGUCUAGAUAGCGAUUUGUCUUGUUGACCUUUUAGUGUUCACCUAUGAGUUCUGAUUUUUGUAAUGUUAUAUAAUUUACUUUUGAAUAUUCAAAAUAUAUGUUUGCUCUGAAAUUGCAGUGAGCACAUUUUGUACUAAUCUAAUUCUUCUAGGUAGCAUCCAGUCCUGCUGAGCUUUUAGUGUUCACAUAUGGGUUCUGUUUUUUUGUAAUGUUAAAUAAUUUACUUUUGAAUAUUCUGAGUAUCGGUUUGCUCUUAAA